CCGGUUAGAAUAAAUCUUACCUCAAGAUGAGACCUUUCUUCCUAUUGUCCCAAGUGACUAGGAAGCUGGUGCUGCUCACCUGUUGUCUGUCUAAACCUCUGAUGGUGUUGAUUGUGAUGAUGCUGAAAAGUGGAGCAGCUGGCCCAUGGGGCAGACCUUGUCCUGUUCUAGUAUUAUGACUUGUGCUGUUGUUUGCUUGUUUUUAGGAUGUGUGUCCCAUUACGCUAGAUAGUAUAUGGAACUCAAAGGAACAGUUCUUACUUCAGGGUAAUUUGUGUUUCCCAUGGGUUUGGUUUUAUCUUUCAGUGUUUGCUGAGUAUGUGGCUGGUUCCCCAGGUAAUUAUUAUUUUUAAGAUUGUAUUUAUUUAUUCAUGAGAGACACAGACAGGAAGGCAGAGACACAGGGAGAGGGAGGACCAGACUCCCGGUGGGGAGCCCAAUUUGGGACUCAAUCCUGGGACCCCAGGACCAUGCCCCUGAGCUGACGGCAGACACUCAGCCCCUGAGCUACCCAGGGAUCCCCGGCAUGCCCUGUUUUAAGAGCUUUGCAUAUUUUAAUUUAUUUUUGCAAAUCUAUGAAGUAGAUGCUUUCAUCAUUCCCAUUUUACAGAUGAGAAAACUUAACGUAAGACUGAAGAAUUUCCUCAAGAUCACAGUGCUUGCACAGAGGAGUAUCUAUGUUAUAGUUCCUGUAUCUAGAGGAUAAAGAAGUUCAAGUUCUUCCUUCAAAGAAUCAUCAGAAUAACAUGGAUUGAAGAGACUUUGGAACACUUGCCAUCUCUUGCUGCUGCUGUUACAUGAAAGGAAAUAUUAAACAUUUGUUUAAUUUUUAGAUAAGUGUAAUACAUAUUUCACCAAAUAAAAUAUUUCAGUGGUUGCAUUA